AAAUUGUGUGUGUGUGUGUGUGUGUGUGUGUGUGCGCGCGCACACACACACACACACACACAACUG